rnacentral:rRNA from 1 species
UACGUAGGGCGCAAGCGUUGUCCGGAAUUAUUGGGCGUAAAGAGCUCGUAGGCGGCUUGUCACGUCGGAUGUGAAAGUCCAGGGCUCAACCCUGGGAUGCCGGUGGAUACUGUCGGGCUCGAGUCCGGAAGAGGAGUGUGGAAUUCCUGGUGUAGCGGUGAAAUGCGCAGAUAUCAGGAGGAACACCAAUGGCGAAGGCAGCACUCUGGGACGUGACUGACGCUGAGACGCGAAAGCGUGGGGAGCAAACAGG